GAUGAAGAACGCAGCGAAAUGCGAUAAGUAAUGUGAAUUGCAGAAUUCAGUGAAUCAUCGAAUCUUUGAACGCAUCUUGCGCUCCUUGGUAUUCCGAGGAGCAUGCCUGUUUGAGUGUCAUUUAACUUCUCAACCACAUUGGAUAUUUUUUUUCCGAUGCCGGCUUGGAUGUGGGGUUGUUUGCAGGCUUUUUGUAACAAAAAAGGUCGGCUCCCCUGAAAUGUAUUAGUGGUAUCUGAGGCUAUUACUAUUAGGUGUGAUAAUUAUCUAUGCCUUUUGGGUAUGCCGCAUGAACAGAUUAUGCUGCUUCUAACGAAAACUAUUUUGAUGAAUUUGACCUCAAAUCAGGUAGGACUACCCGCUGAACUUAAGCAUAUCAAUAAGCGGAGGA
rnacentral:misc_RNA from 1 species